AAAUAACCACCACAACAAACAAAAAUUAGAAAGAAGUCCAAGACAGAGCAAUGGCGCAUUUAGCAGCAAUGGGCGUUUCCCAAAUUUCCUCUUCAAUAUACAUGCCGGAACUUCCACUCAAGUCUCAAAAUCCACAGCCCUCGUCCAUUUUCCUCAAGAGAAUCGGCGUAGCUCAUAAAAGAUUCAAUCUUGUUAAAGCUACCGUCGAUGGGUCCCCAGUCCCAGCUCCAUCCCCUGGUCUUUACUCUGCUAAACAAUUCGAGCUCACCCCUGAAAACGUCGAUAUGGUUCUUGAAGAUGUUCGACCAUAUCUCAUUUCUGAUGGCGGAAACGUUGAGGUCGUCUCUGUGGAAGACGGUGUCGUUUCCCUCCAGCUUCAAGGAGCGUGCGAGAGUUGUCCUAGCGCAACAACUACAAUGAAGAUGGGGAUUGAAAGGGUACUCAAAGAAAAGUUUGGAGAAGCCAUCAAGGAUAUUCGCCAAGUAUACAAUGAGCAAGUAGUUGAAACCACUGCUGAGGCUGUGAAUGCUCACCUAGAUAUAUUAAGACCUGCCAUUAAAAAUUUUGGUGGUAGUGUGGAAGUUUUAUCAGUUGAGGAAGGCAAUUGCAAUGUGAAGUAUGUUGGGCCUGAGUCUAUUGGAUCAGGAGUCAAAG
rnacentral:misc_RNA from 1 species